UACGUAGGGUGCAAGCGUUGCCCGGAUUUAUUGGGCGUAAAGGGCGCGUAGGCGGCUCGGCACGUCCGUUGUGAAAUCGCCCGGCUCAACUGGGCGGGGUCAGCGGAUACGGUCGAGCUUGAGCAAGCUAGGGGGCAAGUGGAAUUCCCGGUGUAGUGGUGGAAUGCGUAGAUAUCGGGAGGAACACCCGUAGCGAAGGCGGCACUCUGGGCCGGUACUGACGCUGAGGAGCGAAAGCGUGGGGAGCAAACAGG
rnacentral:rRNA from 1 species